GCCCCUAUAGCUCAGUGGAUAGAGCAGGUGCCUUCUAAGCAUCUGGCCGCUGGUUCGAGUCCAGCUAGGGGCGC
rnacentral:tRNA from 2 species